rnacentral:rRNA from 1 species
GCCAAUGCAUGCUUUUACAGUAUGGAAAUUGGUGAUUUAUAAUAACUUGGCAAAUCGCAAAGUGAAAACAGGCGAUAAAUCAUUCAAGUUUCUGACCUAUCAGCUUUCGACGGUAUGGUAUUGGCUUACCGUGGCAGUGACGGUUAACGGGGGAUUAGGGUUCGAUUCCGGAGAGGGAGCCUGAGAAACGGCUACCACAUCUAAGGAAGGCAGCAGGCGCGCAAAUUACCCAAUUCUAACAGUUUGAGAGAGGUAGUAACAAGAAAUAACAAUACAAGGCAAUUAAAAUGCUUUGUAAUUGGAAUGAUAGAAAUUUAAACCCUUUUUAAAGUAUCAAUUGGAGGGCAAGUCUGGUGCCAGCAGCCGCGGUAAUUCCAGCUCCAAUAGCGUAUAUUAAAAUUGUUGCAGUUAAAAAGCUCGUAGUUGAAGUUCUGCUAAAAGUAACCGGUCUGCUUUUAAUAAAAGUGGUAUCUUGGUGUGUAUUUAGCAAUGAUGUCCUUUGAAGUGUUUUUUACUUUAUUGUAAUAAAGCAUAUUCAGGACUUUUACUUUGAGAAAAUUAGAGUGUUUCUAGCAGGCCGACGCUUUGAAUACUGCAGCUG